GCCUUCAAGAUGCAGGUUUUGCAUAGGUGAGAAUCAUGGUAGUUACCGUACACAGCAUGUUUAAGGCAGGUACACACAGGGCCGGUGCAAGGAUUUUUGCCGCCCUAGGCAAAAAAUAAUUUGCUGCCCCCCCAUAUGCCCUGCCCACCAUGUGACAUCACAAUGCCCCGCCCAUAUGCUCUGCCAUAUGGGCCAACGCCAGUCUUCACAAAGUGUCUUCUAUCUGAAAAGACAGAGUGUUUACAUUAAAAAGCCUACAG